AGUGAACGCUGGCGGCAGGCCUAAUACAUGCAAGUCGAACGGCAGCACAGCAGAGCUUGUUCUGUGGGUGGCGAGUGGCGGACGGGUGAGGAAUACAUGGGAAUCUGCCCAGUCGUGGGGAUAACGUAUGGAAACGUACGCUAAUACCGCAUGCGCCCUUUGGGGGAAAGCCGGGGACCUUCGGGCCUGGCGCGAUUGGAUGAGCCCAUGUUCGAUUAGCUAGUUGGCGGGGUAAAGGCCCACCAAGGCGACGAUCGAUAGCUGGUCUGAGAGGAUGAUCAGCCACACUGGGACUGAGACACGGCCCAGACUCCUACGGGAGGCAGCAGUAGGGAAUAUUGGACAAUGGGCGCAAGCCUGAUCCAGCCAUGCCGCGUGAGUGAAGAAGGCCCUCGGGUUGUAAAGCUCUUUUGUCCGGAAAGAAAAGCAUUCGGUUAAUACCCGGGUGUUCUGACGGUACCGGAAGAAUAAGCACCGGCUAACUUCGUG
rnacentral:rRNA from 1 species